AUUGAACGCUGGCGGAAUGCUUUACACAUGCAAGUCGAACGGCAGCACGGACUUCGGUCUGGUGGCGAGUGGCGAACGGGUGAGUAAUGUAUCGGAACGUGCCCAGUCGUGGGGGAUAACGUAGUGAAAAUUACGCUAAUACCGCAUACGAUCUAUGGAUGAAAGCGGGGGAUGGCAAGACCUCGCGCGAUUGGAGCGGCCGAUAUCAGAUUAGGUAGUUGGUGGGGUAAAGGCCCACCAAGCCAACGAUCUGUAGCUGGUCUGAGAGGACAACCAGCCACACUGGAACGGCGACUCGGUCCGGACUCCUACGGGAGGAAGCGGUGGUGAAUUUUGGUCAAUGGGCGAAAGCCUGAUCCAGCCAUUCCGCGUGCAGGAUGAAAGCCCUCGGGUUGUAAACUGCUUUUGUACAGAACGAAAGGGUUUCUACUAAUACUAGGAGCUCAUGACGGUACUGUAAGAAUAAGCACCGGCUAACUACGUGCCAGCCGCCGCCGUAA
rnacentral:rRNA from 1 species